rnacentral:rRNA from 1 species
CCUACGGGAGGCAGCAGUGGGGAAUAUUGCACAAUGGGGGAAACCCUGAUGCAGCGACGCCGCGUGAGUGAAGAAGUAUUUCGGUACGUAAAGCUCUAUCAGCAGGGAAGAAAAUGACGGUACCUGACUAAGAAGCCCCGGCUAACUACGUGCCAGCAGCCGCGGUAAUACGUAGGGGGCAAGCGUUAUCCGGAUUUACUGGGUGUAAAGGGAGCGUAGACGGCAGCGCAAGUCUGGAGUGAAAUCCCAUGGCUUAACCAUGGAACUGCUUUGGAAACUGUGCAGCUAGAGUGCAGGAGAGGUAAGCGGAAUUCCUAGUGUAGCGGUGAAAUGCGUAGAUAUUAGGAGGAACACCAGUGGCGAAGGCGGCAUACUGGACUGUAACUGACGUUGAGGCUCGAAAGCGUGGGGAGCAAACAGGAUUAGAUACCCGAGUAGUC